UCGUUAAAAACAAAUUGCGGGGAUAGCUCAGUUGGGAGAGCGUCAGACUGAAGAUCUGAAGGUCGCGUGUUCGAUCCACGCUCACCGCAAAAUUUUGUUUUUCGCGAUUCUUCCGUUUUGAUUUGCCCUUUUUCCGGUUACCUGCUUUCGGUCUUAACUUCUUUGGGGGCUCCAUUCGAAUCCAUUCGCAUAAUCACUGAAGAACAAAUUAGCCAAUGGCUUCACGAGGAGCGAACGCGUUGCUAUCCCGAGCAGUUCGAAUCGAAACCAAGUUAAAAUCCCUACUCGAACCAACCCUUUUAGAGAUCGAUGACGUGUCCCACCAGCACGCCGGCCAUGCCGCCGUUAAGCAAAUGGGAGCUGCAGGGGAGACCCAUUUCAAUCUGAAGAUUGUUUCGCCGAAAUUCGAUGGCUUGAGCCUCGUGAAGCGCCACAGAAUGGUGUAUGACGCUUUGGCUGAUGAACUUCAGUCUGGACUGCACGCGCUUUCCAUCGUUGCAAAGACUCCACAGGAAGUUUCCCAUAAAUAGUUAUUGAGGGUUAUCCCAAGCUGUAUCCUUGAGAUGGAAGAUGAAGCAAGCCAGCUUUAGUAGUUCAAGACUGCUGGAUCCACGGGCACCUGGAAAUGCCAUAUGAACAGUUGGGUAAAUAAUGACUGUUUCUCUCCAACAUGAAUUAUGUCUAUUAUUUAUGUUAGUUUAUUGGUCAGAAAUUGAAGACAGGAAUUAUACAACUGAUCAAACACGUUUUAUUGCUUGUGGAGAUUAUUAAUAAUGCUUAGUAAUGGAGAUUUUCUUCAA